UGUCGUAAGCCUCGUGGUGUUUGCGUACUUUUGGCGCUACAGUAUCCCUUGAAAUUUUAAAUUUUGAGUUAGACGUCCAGAAAA
ensembl:ncRNA Y39A3CL.14 ncRNA